AACGAACGCUGGCGGCAGGCUUAACACAUGCAAGUCGAACGCCCCGCAAGGGGAGUGGCAGACGGGUGAGUAACGCGUGGGAAUCUACCCAGUUCUACGGAAUAACCCAGGGAAACUCGGACUAAUACCGUAUACGCCCUACGGGGGAAAGAUUUAUCGGAAUUGGAUGAGCCCGCGUUGGAUUAGCUAGUUGGUGGGGUAAUGGCCUACCAAGGCGACGAUCCAUAGCUGGUCUGAGAGGAUGAUCAGCCACACUGGGACUGAGACACGGCCCAGACUCCUACGGGAGGCAGCAGUGGGGAAUAUUGGACAAUGGGCGCAAGCCUGAUCCAGCCAUGCCGCGUGAGUGAUGAAGGCCUUAGGGUUGUAAAGCUCUUUCAGUGGGGACGAUAAUGGCGGUACCCACAGAAGAAGCCCCGGCUAACUUCGUGCCAGCAGCCGCCGUAAGAC
rnacentral:rRNA from 1 species